AUUAGAUACCCUGGGUAGUCCACGCUGUAAACGAUCGAUACUAGGUGUGCGGGGACUGACCCCCUGCGUGCCGCAGUUAACACAAUAAGUAUCGCACCUGGGGAGUACGAUCGCAAGGUUGAAACUCAAAGGAAUUGACGGGGGCCCGCACAAGCGGUGGAUUAUGUGGUUUAAUUCGAAGCAACGCGAAGAACCUUACCAGGGCUUGACAUGGGAGUGACCGCUCUAGAGAUAGGGCUUUCCCUUCGGGGACACUCCACACAGGUGGUGCAUGGUUGUCGUCAGCUCGUGUCGUGAGAUGUUGGGUUAAGUCCCGCAACGAGCGCAACCCCUAUCCUUAGUAGCCAGCGAGAAAGACGGGCACUCUAGGGAGACUGCCGGGGAUAACCCGGAGGAAGGUGGGGAUGACGUCAAAUCAUCAUGCCCCUUAUGUUCUGGGCUACACACGUGCUACAAUGGCGUAAACAAAGGGAAGCGAAGGCGUGAGCGUAAGCAAAACCCAAAAAUAACGUCCCAGUUCGGAUUGUAGUCUGCAACCCGACUACAUGAAGCUGGAAUCGCUAGUAAUCGCGGAUCAGAAUGCCGCGGUGAAUACGUUCCCGGGUCUUGUACACACCGCCCGUCACACCAUGGGAGUCGGAAAUGCCCGAAGUCGGUGACCGAACCGAAAGGAAGGAGCCGCCGAAGGCAGGUCUGGUGACUGGGGUGAAGUCGUAACAAGGUACC
rnacentral:rRNA from 1 species